AAACUAAAGAGUUUGAUCCUGGCUCAGAUUGAACGCUGGCGGCAUGCCUUACACAUGCAAGUCGAACGGCAGCACGGAGCUUGCUCUGGUGGCGAGUGGCGAACGGGUGAG
rnacentral:rRNA from 1 species